rnacentral:rRNA from 1 species
AUGGCGACUACCACCAUGUACCUCUCCUCGGCCUUCGCCGGCAAGUCGGCGAAGAACGUGGCUUCAUCAGCUCUCUUUGGUGAGGCCCGUGUCACUAUGCGCAAGACCGCUGCAAAGGCCAAGCCGGUUUCAUCAGGCAGCCCGUGGUACGGUGCCGACCGUGUGCUCUACCUCGGCCCGCUUUCCGGAGAGCCCCCGAGCUACUUGACCGGCGAAUUCCCAGGCGACUACGGGUGGGACACCGCCGGGCUCUCGGCCGACCCCGAGACCUUUGCCAAGAACCGGGAGCUCGAGGUGAUCCACUGCCGGUGGGCCAUGCUCGGUGCGCUCGGAUGCGUCUUCCCCGAGCUUCUUGCACGCAACGGCGUCAAGUUCGGCGAGGCUGUAUGGUUCAAGGCCGGUUCCCAGAUCUUCAGCGAGGGUGGCCUCGACUACCUAGGCAACCCCAGCCUCGUGCACGCACAAAGCAUCCUUGCUAUAUGGGCAUGCCAAGUCGUGCUCAUGGGCGCCGUUGAGGGGUACCGCAUUGCCGGCGGCCCACUCGGUGAGGUAGUUGACCCACUCUACCCCGGCGGCAGCUUCGACCCACUGGGCCUGGCCGACGAUCCAGAGGCAUUUGCGGAGCUCAAGGUGAAGGAAGUCAAGAACGGCCGCCUCGCCAUGUUCUCUAUGUUUGGCUUCUUCGUGCAGGCCAUCGUCACCGGCAAGGGCCCACUCGAGAACCUCGCCGACCACCUCUUCGACCCUGUCAACAACAACGCAUGGGCGUUUGCCACAAACUUUGUUCCCGGCAAGUGA